GUAGCACUCCUGAGGCAUAGGUGGGUGAAGAUGCUGCUUAUCUCGGUCAAGCGGAUGCUUAACUUAUUUCGAAAUCUCUUUUAGUAACAGGAUCACAGUGAUUGCUUAUUGAUGGGAACAGUUCUGCUAAUUCGACCACCUUCAAAGCAUGUGAUGACUGGAUUCACAUAGAAUUGUUUUAUUUUAAUAAGUCUGCUACAGAGGAUUAUUUUUAAAAAGCCAUUUUUAAAAAAAACCCACCCCUCCCUGUUGCAGAGCAGUGCCACGCUAUAUCUUUAUCCACAUUGCUGACCUCACUUGGAGUUUCAAGGAAAAGGAUAGGACAGAUGGCCGAAGAAAGAAGCACCAGGCUGAGGCAGCACAUGUUUCACAGAUGGAGGGAGGCACAUUUGGAAACAUCUGCGUCAAGGCAGGAGUGUUUCUACUAAGAGCACAGCCAGAGGAAGGAAUUCAACCGAUUUGAUGUUCAUAAACACCAUAGAAUUGGUGGAUGGAGAUUUGAAUUAUCCCUUAGUGUGAAAUAAAGCAUUUGUUUG